rnacentral:lncRNA from 1 species
CAGCCGCGCCGCCCAAUCACAGCGCGAGGAGCGCCGCUCGGCCCCGCCCCCCUCCAGACCCACCCCGAGGGGGCGGGGCGCGCUCCCCCCUCCCCUCCCCUCCCACCUGCCCGCGUGUGCGCGCGCACGGCUGAGGAGGCGCGCGAGCGGGCUGCGUGCACGCGCCCCGCCUUCCCGCCUCAGGGCGUGGUGCUCGCGCCGCCCUCAGAGCUGCUCUGUGUAACGACUGCGGUGGGAAGCCCUCCUUUAUUUAAUGCCCCGUUGGUGGCUUUAAUAGAUGCCCAUAGUUUGCAUCAGGGAUAAAGAAAUGCUUGUUUAGGUGUUGAGGACUGAUGUGGGGAAGCACAAAGGCCUCAGCGCUGGGAUUUAACUUCUGUAUUUCUGAAGCAAGAAGCACCAAGUUCUCAAUAACUACAUCACUAACUAUAGAUGUGCAUUGGAGGGUUACGGUCCAAGUUCCCUUGAGCGCUGCUAUGAUUAGAGGGUUUCAUCUGUGCCUUUGCCGUUCCCACACUGGAUCAAUACUGUUUACACAGAAGCAGCAUUGUAGGCUGAGAUUUUAUUGGAAAUGGGAAAUGCUGGUUCUGCUGUCAGCAAUAAACUUCAUUUCUGGAGCACCCACUGUUCGUUGUCUGUGCCCUUCAGGUUGCCAGAGUUAUGAUGGCAAGAAGGGGAAAGUUUGGUUGUAAGAGUAAGCACAAAUGGAAAAAAAAACCUUGUUGUUCAAGUUGACUUUUGUACAGGCAGAUCGUUCUAUG